CCCCGGUUAGCUGAGUUGGUAGAGCGCUCCACCUGUACUGGAGAGGUCCCGGGUUCGAUACCCGGAACAGGCG
rfam:Ixodes scapularis strain Wikel colony gcontig_1108378544906, whole genome shotgun sequence.